rnacentral:rRNA from 1 species
UACAGAGGUCCCAAGCGUUACUGAGAAUCACUGGGUUUAAAGGGUGCGUAGGUGGUCCGUUAAGUCAGUUGUGAAAUCCCCGGGCUCAACCCGGGAACUGCUUCUGAUACUGGCGGACUUGAGGCCAGUAGGGGUCACUAGAACUGACGGUGGAGCGGUGAAAUGCGUAGAUAUCGUCAGGAAUGCCGGUGGUGAAGACGGGUGACUGGGCUGGUUCUGACACUGAGGCACGAAAGCGUGGGGAGCAAACAGG